ACUCAUCAGAUUCCUUAUUCAUCAAAUUUAAACACUGGUCUGAGUGGUUAUAAAAGGAGAAGUAAAAUCAAAUUGACUUAAGUUCUCUUGUGACACAUAGCUAAUUUCAAAUAAAU
rnacentral:snoRNA from 1 species